rnacentral:misc_RNA from 1 species
UUUAAAUAUUUUAUGAAAUUAUUAAAUUUUUAAAAUAUAAAUUAUUAAUCAAAAUAAUUUUUUAUGCAAAAUAUUAAUUAAAAUAUAUAAAAUAAAUGAUUUCGAAUUUUUUUUUAGAUAAUAAUAAUUGAGUUUGGGACGGAUUCUGAUAGUUGAAAAUAAAUUUUAAUCAGAGUUCGAAAUUUGAAAAUAUUAAUCGGAUUUGAAUUUAAAUAGGAUGAUUUUCGUGGAAACCUUACUAUUCAACUAUCAAAUGAAUGCAAUUAAAGAUAAGAAUACAAUUAAAGAUAGGCUAAUUAUUAGAUGCACUCAGAGCAUUAAAAAAUAAUGCUCAUUCUCUUACAGAAAAAUGAACCCUUCCUACACUAUCCCACAUGAUCGUGAGAGAUGGUGCAUGUGCACCAGGUGUGCCUAAUAAUUUCUUUUAAGGCUAAUCUUUAGAAGAAAUUAUUAGGUGCACAUGGUGCACAUGCACUAUUUUUGACAAUCAUGUUGGACCUACUCUCUAUAUUGUAAGAAUGGCUCACUUUUCUGUGAGAGAGGGAAUACUAUUUUUUAAUGCUCUGGGCACAUCUAAUAACCCGAAGCCACUAUCUCUGAUAAUCAUGUGGGACCUAUUCUCUAUAUAUUGUAGGAAGGGCCUACUUUGCUGUGAGAGAGGGAGCACUAUUUUUUAGUGUUCCGGGUGCAUUUAAUAGCCCGGAGCAUUAAUUUUUUAGUGCUUUCUCUCUCACAGAAAAGUGGACCAUUCUUACGAUAUAGAUGAGAGGACGGUAAGUGACUUAUCCUUUUGGCCAAAUAAGAAAGAUUGAGGCAGGUGGCAGCUCACCCUUAGCAUCACCUCUGCCAUAAACAGCAAGCUGGUCGAGCUUUUCAUGUGGAUGUAGGAGGUAAUCGAUAAAAUAUGCAGCAAAUGAGUUUGCAGAUACGCAAGUGUAUGGCACUCCUGCCGCUUCCGUUGCCCUUCUGAUUCUCCGCUUAUUGGCGAGGAUAGCUUCAAAUGGAGGCAGCCCACUCACUCUGUCCACUUCGUUACCAAAUUCUGAAGGAACAAACCUCUUUAUAUUGCCAGCUUCUUUCAUGGCAGAGAUAAUUUUGAGCUGGUCAAGGUGUUGAGGAACAGCAAGAGUAGAAAUCACCACAUCUACUUGUUUAAGUACUGAAACAAGCUUCUCAUGCUCCUCCAAUUCUCCUUGAAAUACAGUGACUCCCAGGGACUGGAAUUGCUGGUGAAGUUGUAGCUUUGAAGAAAGAGUAUCAUUUGAUUUGAGUGGGCGAACAUAAGCAUAGGUAGGAUGACCCAUGGAUAUGCUUGCCUUCACCAUGUCUUCUCCUAGAUACCCAGUUGCUCCAAAUAUCAGGAUCUUGCUUUUCUCUGAAUCCAUUGGUUCCUUCGUUGAACUUAAUUAAGCUAUGUACGUAUAUGCAAAC